ACUCCAAUUGAAGAUCCUUCCGUGCUAUAAACGUAACAAUUGCGACGGUGGAAAUAUUGAAGGCACUGCUAACAGAACCACAGCCAAGCUACCAAGAACAGGACUCACGCCUAUUACAGUGAACCUGUUGCAGCAGAUUCUGUAUGGAUUUACAAUAGAUACUGGUAUCCUCGUAAUGAGCUAAGGGUCUAUUCGGAAACAGCCUCUCUACCCCGCAAAGGUAGAGGUAAGGUCUAUGUACAUCCUACCCUCCCCAGACCCCACUUAUGGGGUUAUACUGGGUAUGUUGUUGUUACUGUUAUCCUUGAAAAGUGACCAGCACUAUGACUUGCAAAGGAUUUGUUUGGUAUGCAGUGCAGUUCUUAUUUUCCUAGAAACCAUGUGUUCUCUUAGAUUAUAUGGUUCACUGGGUGCUUUCAUUAA